rnacentral:rRNA from 1 species
AACGAACGCUGGCGGCAGACCUAACACAUGCAAGUCGAACGCCCCGCAAGGGGAGUGGCGCACGGGUGAGUAACACGUGGGAACAUGCCUUUCAGUUCGGGAUAACAGCGGGAAACUGCUGCUAAUACCGGAUAUUCUCCGAGGAGGAAAGAUUUAUCGCUGAAAGAUUGGCCCGCGUUAGAUUAGGUAGUUGGUGGGGUAAUGGCCUACCAAGCCUACGAUCUAUAGCUGUUCUGAGAGGAAGAUCAGCCACACUGGAACUGAGACACGGUCCAGACUCCUACGGGAGGCAGCAGUGGGGAUAUUGGACAAUGGGCGCAAGCCUGAUCCAGCCAUGCCG